rnacentral:misc_RNA from 1 species
GAUGAAGAACGUAGCGAAAUGCGAUAAGUAAUGUGAAUUGCAGAAUUCAGUGAAUCAUCGAAUCUUUGAACGCACCUUGCGCUCCCUGGUAUUCCGGGGAGCACGCCUGUUCGAGUGUCGCGAUAUUCUUCAAGCCUUGGAUGGAUUUUUUUUUGUCUGUCCUUGGGCUUGGUUGUUGGGCUCUGCCGUGUCCUUCAUUGGGACGGCUGGCCUUAAAAGCAUUAGCCGAUCCUCGUGUGGUACUGGUUCUACUCAGCGUGAUAACAAUCUGAUCGUUGAGGACAUCUUCUGGAUGGCCAGUCAUCAUUUGGGUUGCUUCUAAACCGGUUUCGCAGAUUGCUCAAUCUGUGUGCCACUUUUCAGCUUUGACCUCGAAUCAGGUGGGACUACCCGCUGAACUUAAGCAUAUCAAUAAGCGGAGGA